rnacentral:lncRNA from 1 species
CCCAACUCUUGGAGUGUGUGCUCUAACUCUGAGGGACUUGUAUCAGGCCCCAGCUUUGUUCUCUGGCUCCUCGAGGUUAGGAAUUCACUGGGCUGGGAGUGCUGAGGUGCUUCCAGACUGCUGGGCACUACACUGUGAUGGAUGGUGUCAGCCAAAGCAUUUUGCAAUGUGGUAGCAGUGGGAUCCAUCCUUGUUGCAUGUGCCUGCAGAAGCAGCAGUGGCAGUAUGGUGGGAUGUCAGUCUCUUCUGCCUUCUGACUUAGGUUCUGACUGGAACUAUCACCAUCAGCUCUCCUGGGUCUGGACUUCUCAGCCUUCAUAAUCACAUCUGAUGGUUUAUCAGUUCAACCACUCUCAUCUCUUUGAUCUUCCACCAUCCUUGGCUUAACUCCCAAUUCUGAGGACCAGUCCCACCAGUUUGUCAUCUCUGCUUCUGUAUCCAUGUUGCUAAGGAUUUCUGAGGAAAACUGCAAAAUUGUUCAAAUUGAUGCCUUU